GACGAACGCUGGCGGCGUGCUUAACACAUGCAAGUCGAACGGAAAGGCCCUGCUUUUGUGGGGUGCUCGAGUGGCGAACGGGUGAGUAACACGUGAGUAACCUGCCCUUGACUUUGGGAUAACUUCAGGAAACUGGGGCUAAUACCGGAUAGGAGCUCCUGCUGCAUGGUGGGGGUUGGAAAGUUUCGGCGGUUGGGGAUGGACUCGCGGCUUAUCAGCUUGUUGGUGGGGUAGUGGCUUACCAAGGCUUUGACGGGUAGCCGACCUGAGAAGGUGACCGGCCACAUUGCGACUGAGAGACGGCCCAGACUCCUACGUGAGACAGCAGUGGGGAAUAUUGCACAAUGGGCGGAAGCGUGAGGCAGCAACGCCGCGUUCGGGAUGACGUCCUUCGGGUUGUAAACCGCUUUCGCCUGUUACGAAGCUUGAGUGACGGUAAUGAAUAAAGAAGCACCGGCUAACUACGUG
rnacentral:rRNA from 1 species